rnacentral:rRNA from 1 species
AUGAACGCUAGCUACAGGCUUAACACAUGCAAGUCGAGGGGCAGCAUUUUAGUUUGCUUGCAAACUGAAGAUGGCGACCGGCGCACGGGUGAGUAACACGUAUCCAACCUGCCGAUAACUCCGGAAUAGCCUUUCGAAAGAAAGAUUAAUACCGGAUAGUAUACGAAUAUCGCAUGAUAUUUUUAUUAAAGAAUUUCGGUUAUCGAUGGGGAUGCGUUCCAUUAGUUUGUUGGCGGGGUAACGGCCCACCAAGACUACGAUGGAUAGGGGUUCUGAGAGGAAGGUCCCCCACAUUGGAACUGAGACACGGUCCAAACUCCUACGGGAGGCAGCAGUGAGGAAUAUUGGUCAAUGGGCGAGAGCCUGAACCAGCCAAGUAGCGUGAAGGAUGAAGGCUCUAUGGGUCGUAAACUUCUUUUAUAUGGGAAUAAAGUUUUCCACGUGUGGAAUUUUGUAUGUACCAUAUGAAUAAGGAUCGGCUAACUCCGUGCCAGCAGCCGCGGUAAUACGGAGGAUCCGAGCGUUAUCCGGAUUUAUUGGGUUUAAAGGGAGCGUAGGUGGAUUGUUAAGUCAGUUGUGAAAGUUUGCGGCUCAACCGUAAAAUUGCAGUUGAAACUGGGAGUCUUGAGUACAGUAGAGGUGGGCGGAAUUCGUGGUGUAGCGGUGAAAUGCUUAGAUAUCACGAAGAACUCCGAUUGCGAAGGCAGCUCACUAGACUGUCACUGACACUGAUGCUCGAAAGUGUGGGUAUCAAACAGGAUUAGAUACCCUGGUAGUCCACACAGUAAACGAUGAAUACUCGCUGUUUGCGAUAUACAGUAAGCGGCCAAGCGAAAGCAUUAAGUAUUCCACCUGGGGAGUACGCCGGCAACGGUGAAACUCAAAGGAAUUGACGGGGGCCCGCACAAGCGGAGGAACAUGUGGUUUAAUUCGAUGAUACGCGAGGAACCUUACCCGGGCUUAAAUUGCAACAGAAUAUAUUGGAAACAGUAUAGCCGUAAGGCUGUUGUGAAGGUGCUGCAUGGUUGUCGUCAGCUCGUGCCGUGAGGUGUCGGCUUAAGUGCCAUAACGAGCGCAACCCUUAUCUUUAGUUACUAACAGGUCAUGCUGAGGACUCUAGAGAGACUGCCGUCGUAAGAUGUGAGGAAGGUGGGGAUGACGUCAAAUCAGCACGGCCCUUACGUCCGGGGCUACACACGUGUUACAAUGGGGGGUACAGAAGGCGGCUACCUGGUGACAGGAUGCUAAUCCCAAAAACCUCUCUCAGUUCGGAUCGAAGUCUGCAACCCGACCUCGUGAAGCUGGAUUCGCUAGUAAUCGCGCAUCAGCCAUGGCGCGGUGAAUACGUUCCCGGGCCUUGUACACACCGCCCGUCAAGCCAUGAAAGCCGGGGGUACCUGAAGUACGUAACCGCAAGGAGCGUCCUAGGGUAAAACUGGUAAUUGGGGCU